UCUUCCGCAAUGGACGAAAGUCUGACGCAGCACCGCCCCGUGAGUGAUGAAGGCUUUCGUGUCGUAAAACUCUGUUGUCAGGGAAGAACAAGUGCUAGUUGAAUAAGCUGGCACCUUGACGGUACCUAACCAGAAAGCCACGGCUAACUACGUGCCAGCAGCCGCGGUAAUACGUAGGUGGCAAGCGUUAUCCGGAAUUAUUGGGCGUAAAGCGCGCGCAGGUGGUUUCGUAAGUCUGAUGUGAAGGCCCACGGCUCAACCGUGGAGGGUCAUUGGAAACUGGGAGACUUGAGUGCAGAAGAGGAGAGUGGAAUUCCAUGUGUAGCGGUGAAAUGCGUAGAGAUAUGGAGGAACACCAGUGGCGAAGGCGACUUUCUGGUCUGUAACUGACACUGAGGCGCGAAAGCGUGGGGAGCAAACAGG
rnacentral:rRNA from 1 species